AAAAUUAAAAUUUUCCGGUUAAUAUAAAGUGAUGAAAAAAUAGUUUUUAAAGACGAACACGUUCAAUAAAGAGUUUAUUUCAUCUUGAAACAAUAUGAGCUUCGCUAAUUUUCUUUUGUUCAUUGUGCUUAUAGUUCCACGAUGUCGGGCUCCGGCUUGUUUUAACAGGAUGAAAUUGGAACCGGAUAAUUAAAUCUCAUCUCAGUGUGUUUCAGAUUUAUAGGAAGUGGUAUAUUUGCCUAAUAAUUACUGAAAAAAAAAUAAUCAAAAUGUCUAAAUUUUUAAAUACAAGAAUCAACAACCAGUAA